AUCCAGCUGACGAGUCCCAAAUAGGACGAAACGCGUCAUACUGGAU
rnacentral:hammerhead_ribozyme from 1 species